CCUACGGGUGGCAGCAGUGAGGAAUAUUGCGCAAUGGGCGAAAGCCUGACGCAGCAACGCCGCGUGAACGAUUAAGCCCUUCGGGGUGUAAAGUUCUGUCAGUAGGGACGAAACUUGACGGUACCUACAGAGGCAGCACCGGCUAACUCCGUGCCAGCAGCCGCGGUAAUACGGAGGGUGCAAGCGUUGUCCGGAAUCAUUGGGCGUAAAGAGUUCGUAGGUGGCAUAUUAAGUCUGGUGUUAAAUGCAGAAGCUCAACUUCUGUUCGGCACUGGAUACUGGUAAGCUUGAAUGCGGUAGAGGUAAAGGGAAUGCCUGGUGUAGCGGUGAAAUGCGUAGAUAUCAGGAGGAACAUCGGUGGCGUAAGCGCUUUACUUGGCCGUAAUUGACACUGAGGAACGAAAGCCGGGGUAGCAAAUGGGAUUAGAUAACCCUGUAGUC
rnacentral:rRNA from 1 species